UCGCUUCAGCAGCACAUAUACAAAAAUGGGAACGAUACAGCGAAGAUUAGCCUGGCCUCGCGCAAGGAUGACACGCAAAAUCACGAAGCGUCCCACAUUUUU